UUAUGGCCACAUCAUGUAGGAAUACUGGUUCCCAUAUGACCACCAAAGUUAAGCAACACCAAGCCUAGUCAGUACCCAGAUGGGUGACUACUCAGGAAUAUCAGGUGCUGUAA